CCAAGUGCUGGUGGUGUGUACCACCACUGCCUGACACAUGUUUCCUUUUUAAGGGACAAAGGACCCAGCGUCCUUUGUGGAGCUCAGAACUCAAAGGCAGAGCUUUCUGGUCCAGUCUAAAGAGUUCUUCCUUUCCCAUCUGAACUGGGGAUGACACCUUCCUUGAACUCCAUGGGAUGAGUUAUGCAGCAGGCGUGGUGUUGUGCCGGGUACCACUGCUUUCCAAGUAGUGAGCUGCUAUUCAAUGAGGAGCAGAGGAGAGCCGCCUGGAGAGAGGCCCUGAAGAUUGGGACAGCCAGCACACAGCAAGAGACAUGGCUGCCUGGCUCUCAGCCUGCAGGAACAUUUAGGAUUCUCUCUCCUAAGAGGAGAGCAGAUUGGGCAUCAGAUCCAAGUCUGGGACUGGUGGUUGCCAGUAUAGCUAGCACAUCUCAAAGCUCCUUAUUUGGGGAGUGGAGGAGGACAGAGUCAUCGUUCACAGAACAACAUGGAUGAUGCUGGACCAGACACUGCUUGUGACAGGUGUCACAGAGGCCUGGGAAGCUCUAUGGCAGGGUUGGACAACCCCUCCCCACCCAUGACAUCCCUGGGAAUCACAAAGGAAUGCUCUUACACACCUCACCCCCAUGACACCCUGGGAUCACAAAGGAAUGCUCUUACACACCUCACCCCCAUGACACCCCUGGGGAUCACAAAGGAAUGCUCUUACACACCUCACCCCCAUGACACCCCUGGGGAUCACAAAGGAAUGUUCUUACACACCUCACCCCCAUGACACCCCUGGGGAUCACAAAGGAAUGCUCUUACACACCUCAAUGCCCUUGUGCAUGCCCUCCCUGCCUCCAGCUGUUUGCAUCUGCCGGGGUCCAGCUGCCUCCCCCUCCUCUUCAGUGGUCUAGGACAGAGGGGCUCUGCCUCCUAUGAGUGGCUCUCAUGCCACCUGCAUGUUUCCCACCACUGCUGUCACACUGGAAGAUCAUUAUUUGAAGCCAAUGCGGCAGAACACGCCUGAAUCCCAGCACUCAGGAGGCAGUGGCAGGAGAAUCACUGUAAGCUUGAUGCCAGCCUGGUCUACAUAGUGAUUUCCAGAUCAGCCAGCCAGAGCUGGAUUUCUGGUGUCAAGAAAACAGAGGGAUGGAGAGAGAGAGAGAGAGAGAGAGAGAGAGAGAGAGAGAGAGAGAGAGAGAGAGAGAUCAUGGCUUAUCUAAGUGUCUCCCCAUCCUAUAGAUACCGUAUUCUUGAAACAACAGCUGGGCAGGUUUUUCUGUGGGUUGGACAGGCAUGGCUACCACCUGCCUCUGCAUGUGUCUUGACAGUACCUCACCCUGUUAGAAGCUUGGCAUAGAGUCAUAGACAUGUUUAGAAGGUUUUUAUAAAACUCUAGCUGGAUAGAAGGAUCUAGAGGAACUAGGCCUCCUAUUGGAGUCCAAAAAUCUACCCCCCCUUCCUAAUAAGUAGAAAAGACCAGCUUGGAUUGAUCUUUAAAUGCCAAGUUUGAGCUCCAACUAGCUAAGCCUAUUGUUCCUAUUUGAGGCAACCUACAUAUUUUAAAGUAUUCCCACUGGAUGAGGAGGGACACAGGGCUUCCCAGGCAGAAAUCCAGGGGGACACCUCAGAGGCCACAGAAGGAAAAGCACAAAAGCAUCUUAAUUUGAUUUCGUGAUGCAGAAACAAAGUGUUCCACUUGUUUUGCUCUUAAAAUGGAGAGCAGAGAACAGAAAAUGAUUUAACAAAUAAAGGAAUGAAAAGCCCUGUCUUGUGUGAUGUCCAGUUUAGGAAGAGACAGGGGGUAGACAGGGACAAUGGAGGGGAUGAGAGGAGGCAGGAGGACAGUGUGCAGAGAUGACGGUGAUGGAGAUGGUAAUAAGUGAAGGUUAAAAAGUCCAAAGAGGUCAAGAGAGAAACUUAGACGUGUGCUUGUG
rnacentral:lncRNA from 1 species